AAUUUUGACGGUAUUUGGAGAAGAAGCACCGGCUAACUACGUGCCAGCAGCCGCGGUAAUACGUAGGGUGCGAGCGUUGUCCGGAAUUACUGGGCGUAAAGAGCUCGUAGGUGGUUUGUCGCGUNGUUUGUGGAAUACCGGGGCUUAACUUCGGGGUUGCAUNCGAUACGGGCAUAACUUGANUGCUGUAGGGGAGACUGGAAUUCCUGGUGUAGCGGUGAAAUGCGCAGAUAUCAGGAGGAACACCGAUGGCGAAGGCAGGUCUUUGGGCAGUAACUGACGCUGAGGAGCGAAAGCAUGGGGAGCGAACAGGAUUAGAUACCCUGGUAGUCCAUGCCGUAAACGGUGGGCGCUANGUGUGAGUCCCUUCCACGGGGUUCGUGCCGUAGCUAACGCAUUAAGCGCCCCGCCUGGGGAAUACGGCCGCAAGGCUAAAACUCAAAGGAAUUGACGGGGGCCCGCACAANCGGCGGAGCAUGUGGAUUAAUUNGAUGCAACGCGAAGAACCUUACCUGGGCUUGACAUACACCAGAUCGCCGCANAGAUGUGGUUUCCCUUGUGGUUGGUGUACAGGUGGUGCAUGGUUGUCGUCAGCUCGUGUCGUGAGAUGUUGGGUUAAGUCCCGCAACGAGCGCAACCCUUGUCUUAUGUUGCCAGCACGUNAUGGUGGGGACUCAUGAGAGACUGCCGGGGUUAACUNGGAGGAAGGUGGGGANGACGUCAAAUCAUCAUGCCCCUUAUGUCCAGGGCUUCACACNUGCUACAAUGGUCGGUACAACGCGCNUGCGAGCCUGUGAGGGUGAGCGAAUCGCUCUAAAGCCGGUCGUAGUUCGGAUUGGGGUCUGCAACUCGACCCCAUGAAGUCGGAGUCGCUAGUAUCGCAGAUC
rnacentral:rRNA from 1 species